rnacentral:sRNA from 1 species
GCCAGGCGUGGUGGCGCAGGCCUGUAAUCCCAGCAACUCAGGAGGCUGAGGCAGGAGGAUCACAAGUUUGAGGUCAACCCGGGCAACUUAGUGAGGCCCUAAGCAAUUUAGCAAGAUCCUGUCUCAA